AGCCGUGUAGUCUAGCGGUUAGAACGCUGGCCUUGUAAUCCUGGGGUCUCGGGUUCGAUUCCCGGCGGUGCCC
rnacentral:tRNA from 1 species